rnacentral:rRNA from 1 species
GCUUAAUACAUGCAAGUCGAACGGGAAAGUUGGCAGAGAGGGAUGAGGGCGCUGGAUGGGACGAUCUGUGUCGACCAUCCCUUUCGUACAGUGAAAGAGGCGCGAAAACGGUAUAAACACUUAAUGUUAAAGAUUAAAUGCCAUAAAAGACGUGAGUAUAU